rnacentral:rRNA from 1 species
GAGUUUGAUCGUGGCUCAGAUUGAACGCUGGCGGCAUGCCUUACACAUGCAAGUCGAACGGCAGCACGGGAGCUUGCUCCUGGUGGCGAGUGGCGAACGGGUGAGUAAUGCAUCGGAACGUAUCCUGGAGUGGGGGAUAACGUAGCGAAAGUUACGCUAAUACCGCAUAUUCUGUGAGCAGGAAAGCGGGGGACCUUCGGGCCUUGCGCUAUCAGAUGAGCCUAGGUCGGAUUAGCUAGUUGGUGGGGUAAUGGCUCACCAAGGCGACGAUCCGUAACUGGUCUGAGAGGAUGAUCAGUCACACUGGAACUGAGACACGGUCCAGACUCCGUACGGGAGGCAGCAGGUGGGGAAUAUUGGACAAGUGGGACGAAAGCCUGAUCCAGCCAUGCCGCGUGUGUGAAGAAGGUCUUCGGAUUGUAAAGCUACUUUAAGUUGGGAGGAAGGGCAGUAAGUUAAUACCUUGCUUGUUUGACGUUACGACAGAAUAA